rnacentral:rRNA from 1 species
UACGUAGGUGGCAAGCGUUGUCCGGAUUUACUGGGCGUAAAGAGCGCGCAGGCGGUCGUUCAAGUCGCGUGUGAAAGCCCCCGGCUCAACUGGGGAGGGUCACGCGAUACUGAUCGACUCGAAGGCAGGAGAGGGUAGUGGAAUUCCCGGUGUAGUGGUGAAAUGCGUAGAUAUCGGGAGGAACACCAGUGGCGAAGGCGGGUCUCUGGACAGUUCCUGACGCUGAGAAGCGAAAGCAUGGGGAGCGAACAGG